CCUGCCCCUGGAGGCAUUGCAGAUGUGGCUGUGUCACAUGUGUGUGUCAGAAGGCAGCAGAGGGGAGAGAGACUAUGUCUACCCUCGGUGUUCUGACCUGUGAACAUCUGAAUGAUUAGUGGCCUAACAUU
ensembl:snoRNA